UACGUAGGGUGCAAGCGUUGUCCGGAAUUAUUGGGCGUAAAGAGCUCGUAGGCGGUUCGUCGCGUCGGCUGUGAAAACCUGAGGCUCAACCUCAGGCCUGCAGUCGAUACGGGCGGACUUGAGUACUGCAGGGGAGACUGGAAUUCCUGGUGUAGCGGUGAAAUGCGCAGAUAUCAGGAGGAACACCGGUGGCGAAGGCGGGUCUCUGGGCCGUUACUGACGCUGAGGGAGCGAAAGGCGUGGGGAGCGAACAGG
rnacentral:rRNA from 1 species